rnacentral:tRNA from 1 species
GUCUCCGUAGCUCAGUUGGUAGAGCAGAUGACUCUUAAUCAUCGGGUCACAGGUUCGAGCCCUGUCGGGGACA